rnacentral:tRNA from 1 species
GGCCCCGUAGCUUAGCAUGGAUAGAGCGCGGGCCUGCGGAGCCCGAGGUCGCGGGUUCAAGUCCCGCCGGGGCCG